GGCGGAACCAGGCAACGCGCUAGACUCGAGAUCUAGUUGCCCUUGCGGGCAGUCAGGGUUCAAAUCCCUG
rnacentral:tRNA from 1 species